UGGGGAAUCUUCGGCAAUGGGCGCAAGCCUGACCGAGCAACGCCGCGUGAAUGAAGAAGGCCUUCGGGUCGUAAAGUUCUGUCUUUGGGGAAGAACAGCCUAGGUGUAAAUAAUGCUUAGGCCUGACGGUACCCAAGGAGGAAGCUCCGGCUAACUACGUGCCAGCAGCCGCGGUAAUACGUAGGGAGCAAGCGUUGUCCGGAAUUAUUGGGCGUAAAGGGCGCGUAGGCGGGACGUUAAGUCAGGUGUGAAAUAUUCGGGCUCAACCCGGAAACUGCACUUGAAACUGAUGUUCUUGAGGGCAGGAGAGGAAAGUGGAAUUCCUAGUGUAGCGGUGAAAUGCGUAGAUAUUAGGAGGAACACCAGUGGCGAAGGCGACUUUCUGGACUGUACCUGACGCUGAGGCGCGAAAGCGUGGGGAGCAAACG
rnacentral:rRNA from 1 species